rnacentral:rRNA from 1 species
UCAAGUUAUUAAGGGUGCAGGGCGGAUGCCUUGGCACUAGGAGCCGAUGAAGGACGUGAUAAGCUGCGAUAAGCUUCGGGGAGUUGCACGUAAACUUUGAUCCGAAGAUUUCCGAAUGAGGAAACUCACUUAGAGUAAUGUCUAAGUAUCAUUAAGUGAAUACAUAGCUUAAUGAGGGGAACUCAGGGAACUGAAACAUCUAAGUACCUGAAGGAAGAGAAAGAAAUUCGAUUCCGUAAGUAGCGGCGAGCGAACGCGGAUUAGCCCAAACCAAUAAAGUUUUCUUUAUUGGGGUUGCGGACAUAUCAUAACGAAGAGGUAUCGUAAUUGAAGAGGUUUGGAAAGACCCACCACAGAAGGUAAUAGUCCUGUAUGUUAAACGAAAAGACUUUAGAUAUGAUCCAGAGUACCACGGGACACGUGAAACCCUGUGGGAAGCAGGAGGGACCACCCUCCAAGGCUAAAUACUACCUAGUGACCGAUAGCGUAUAGUACCGUGAGGGAAAGGUGAAAAGAACCCCGGGAGGGGAGUGAAAUAGAACCUGAAACCCUGCACUUACAAGCUGUGGAAGCACAUUUCUUGUGUGACCGCGUACUUUUUGUAGAACGGGCCAACGAGUUACGUUAAGUAGCAAGGUUAAGCACUUAAGGUGCGGAGCCGUAGCGAAAGCGAGUUUUAACUGAGCGUUCAGUUACUUGACGUAGACCCGAAACCGGGCGACCUACCCAUGAGCAGGAUGAAGCGAAAGUAAAAUUUCGUGGAGGUCCGAACCCACGAGCGUUGAAAAGCUCGGGGAUGACUUGUGGGUAGCGGUGAAAUUCCAAUCGAGCCCGGAGAUAGCUGGUUCUCCCCGAAAUAGCUUUAGGGCUAGCCUCAAGGUGAGAGAUACGGAGGUAGAGCACUGAAUGUCCUAGGGGGUAUUGCACCUACCGAAGACUAUCAAACUCCGAAUGCCGUCAUCUUAUACUUGGGAGUCAGACUGUGGGUGAUAAGAUUCAUAGUCGAAAGGGCAACAGCCCAGAUCGUCAGCUAAGGUCCCUAAAUGUAAGUUAAGUGGUAAAGGAUGUGGGAUUGCACAGACAACCAGGAUGUUGGCUUAGAAGCAGCCACUCAUUCAAAGAGUGCGUAAUAGCUCACUGGUCGAGUGAUCCUGCGCCGAAGAUUUCCGGGGCUAAAACUUACUACCGAAGCUACGGCAUCAGUAAUGAUGGGUAGGGGAGCUUCCCAUACGGGUUGAAGCAUGACCGUAAGGACAUGUGGACAGUAUGGGAGUGAGAAUGUUGGCAUGAGUAGCGAGAUGUGGGUGAGAAUCCCACAGGCCGUAAACCCAAGGUUUCCAGGGGAAGGUUCGUCCGCCCUGGGUUAGUCGGGACCUAAGCUGAGGCCGAAAGGCGUAGGUGAUGGACAACAGGUUGAUAUUCCUGUACUACCGAUAACCGUUUGAGAGAAGGGAUGACACAGUAGGAUAAGCUAAGCACACUGUUGGUUAUGUGUGCCCAAGCAUUGAGGCAGUCAAAGUAGGCAAAUCCGCUUUGAUAAUGCUGGGAUGUGAUGGGGAGCGAAAUUUAGUAGCGAAGUAGCUGAUUUCACACUGUCAAGAAAAGUCUCUAUCGAGGUUAAAGGUACCCGUACCGCAAACCGACACAGGUGGGUGAGGAGAGUAUCCUAAGGCCAGCGAGAGAACUGUUGUUAAGGAACUCGGCAAAAUGACCCCGUAACUUAGGGAUAAGGGGUGCCACCAUCAGGUGGCCGCAGAGAAUAGGCCCAAGCGACUGUUUACCAAAAACAUAGGUUUCUGCUAAGUCGCAAGACGAUGUAUAGGAGCUGACGCCUGCCCGGUGCUGGAAGGUUAAGGGGAUCUGUUAGAGCAAUCGAAGCAGUGAACUUAAGCCCCAGUAAACGGCGGCCGUAACUAUAACGGUCCUAAGGUAGCGAAAUUCCUUGUCGGGUAAGUUCCGACCCGCACGAAAGGCGUAACGAUUUGGGCACUGUCUCAACAACAGACUCGGUGAAAUUGUAAUUCCGGUGAAGAUGCCGGAUACCUGCGACAGGACGGAAAGACCCCAUGGAGCUUUACUGUAGCUUGACAUUGGGUCUUGGUACUACAUGUACAGGAUAGGUGGGAGGCUUUGAAACCAGGACGCCAGUUUUGGCGGAGCCAUCCUUGGGAUACCACCCUUGUAGUACUGGGACUCUAACCAUAGGCCAUGAAUCUGGUCUUGGGACACUGUCAGGUGGGCAGUUUGACUGGGGCGGUCGCCUCCCAAAAGGUAACGGAGGCGCUCAAAGGUUCUCUCAGUACGGUCGGAAAUCGUACGUAGAGUGUAAAGGCAAAAGAGAGCUUGAUUGCAAGACAUACAGGUCGAGCAAGGAUGAAAAUCGGACUUAGUGAUCCGGUGGUUCUGCGUGGAAGGGCCAUCGCUCAACGGAUAAAAGCUACCCUGGGGAUAACAGGCUUAUCUCCCCCAAGAGUCCACAUCGACGGGGAGGUUUGGCACCUCGAUGUCGGCUCAUCACAUCCUGGGGCUGUAGUAGGUCCCAAGGGUUGGGCUGUUCGCCCAUUAAAGUGGUACGCGAGCUGGGUUCAGAACGUCGUGAGACAGUUCGGUCCCUAUCCGUCGCAGGCGUAGGAAAUUUGAGAAGACCUGUCCUUAGUACGAGAGGACCGGGAUGGACGUACCUCUGGUGUACCAGUUGUUCUGCCAAGGGCAUGGCUGGGUAGCUAUGUACGGAAUGGAUAAGCGCUGAAAGCAUCUAAGCGCGAAGCCAACUUCAAGAUAAGAUUUCCCACCGCAAGGGUAAGACCCCAGAAAGACUAUCUGGUUGAUAGGUCGAAGGUGUAAGUGCAGCAAUGUAUUUAGCUUAUCGAUACUAAUAGGUCGAGGACUUGACCAA